AUGCUUUCAUUAAGCACAGGAAUAUCAUGGAUGGGAUCCUCACUCCAUGAGGUGCUACACCACACUCAUCAAAAGAAAAAGAUUGGUGUGGUACUUAAGCUAGAUGUUGAAAAAGCCUAUGACAAGAUAAACUGGGAUUUCCUCCUCGAUGCCAUAGUAAUCGAGGGUUUGGGACUACUUGGUGUGGCUGGGUGA
rnacentral:rRNA from 1 species